CCAGACUCCUACGGGAGGCAGCAGUGAGGAAUAUUGGUCAAUGGGCUUACGCCUGAACCAGCCAAGUCGCGUGAGGGAAGACUGCCCUAUGGGUUGUAAACCUCUUUUGUCAGGGAGCAAUUGGCGCUACGUGUAGCGUUAUCGAGAGUACCUGAAGAAAAAGCAUCGGCUAACUCCGUGCCAGCAGCCGCGGUAAUACGGAGGAUGCGAGCGUUAUCCGGAUUUAUUGGGUUUAAAGGGUGCGUAGGCGGAAUGCCAAGUCAGGGGUAAAAUCGCGGGGCUCAACCUCGCGCCGCCGUUGAAACUGGCGUUCUUGAGUGGGCGAGAAGUAUGCGGAAUGCGUGGUGUAGCGGUGAAAUGCUUAGAUAUCACGAAGAACUCCGAUUGCGAAGGCAGCAUACGGCAGCGCUACUGACGCUGAAGCUCGAAGGCGCGGGUAUCGAACAGGAUUAGAUACCCCUGUAGA
rnacentral:rRNA from 1 species